GACGAACGCUGGCGGCGCGCUUAACACAUGCAAGUCGAACGGAAAGGCCUGCUUUCCCUUGUGGAUUGCGGGUACUCGCGUGGCGAACGGGUGAGUAACACGUGAGUGAUCUGCCCCCAACUUGGGUAUAAGCCUGGGAAACUGGGUCUAAUUCCCGAUAGGACUGCAGGGUGGUGCCUGUGGUGGAAAACGAUUUUCUAGUGGUUGGGGAUGAGCUCGCGGCCUAUCAGCUUGUUGGUGGGGUAAUGGCCUACCAAGGCGGCGACGGGUAGCCGGCCUGGGAGGGUGGACGGGCACAGUGGGACUGAGAUACGGCCCAGACUCCUACGGGAGGCAGCAGUGGGGAAUAUUGCACAAUGGGCGGAAGCCUGAUGCAGCGACGCCGCGUGGGGGAUGACGGCCUUCGGGUUGUAAACUCCUUUCGACCGCGAGGAAGCCACCUGGUUGGAAGGGUGGUGACGGUAGUGGUAGAAGAAGCACCGGCUAACUACGUG
rnacentral:rRNA from 1 species